ACAGGGCAGAAAAACACUCUUAAAAGGGAUUUAAGGGAAGGGAAUGACUAAGACGUUCAGAGGUGGGAAUACUAUACUUCCAUCCAUCCUCCAGGCCUUAGGGCAAUUACUGGAAUGGCUACUAACUGUUUGAAAUAAAUCAACUUGUACAUAACAGUAGAGCUGUAACCUUGGAGUGAAUUUGGGGUAAAAACACUGCCAUUUUAACCAUGAUAAUUGUCAACAAUCUGCUUUUUCUUAAUGGAAUGUCAUUGCAUGUAUUCAUACCUACGCAUGACAUGGCAAACUUAUUCCUGAACUGGAGACUUGUUAAUAAGGCAAACUCGGUAACAAAGUGAAACUGUGCAAUCACAGCGCGACCUUGGGGAAGGCAAUGUUCCGAAACGACGUGGUAAACAGGCACGGCUGUUCUCUCAUGAAUAUGCAUCGGCCAGCCGACUGAUAACAAACGCUGCUCUGUUCUGUCCUGUCAGUCAACACCGACAUCAUGAAGCUCCAACCUGCCUGUGUUGUUGUGUCUACUGUCCAGGUUGGUGUCAAUCAAGGAGUGGGUAGACAGUUCACGACCCCGGGGCGCUGGUCAUCCCCUUCAGCGGAGGAGUGGAGAGUCUCAUGCAGGACAUGAGUGAAGGGGAGAUUAAGAAGUACUGCACCGAGCACAAGGCUCAGAGCGUUCUGACAAGGAUCAUCAAGGCUGGCUAUGGAGCCCUACAGUUGGAGUACUUCUUCACAGCUGGACCAGAUGAGGUCCGUGCGGGGACCAUCCGGAAAGGAACCACGGCUCCACAGGCAGCCGGCAAGAUCCACGCGGACUUUGAGAAGGGCUUCGUUAUGGCUGAAGUAAUGAAAUUCGGCAGAUUUUAAAGAGGGGGGCAAGCGAGAACGCUGUCAAGACAACAGGGAAAAACCUACAUUGUGGAAGACGGAGACAUUAUCUUUUUCAAAUUCAACACGCCAAACCAAGACUAAGAAGUGACUCAGUCGCAGUCUGUCGGCUACCAGAAUGGACUGUGCCGUUAGAGAAUUCUUCUUUGUUUUAGACAAAAUGAAGCUGGAGAUUGAUUGCUACCUGCCAAGUCGGCUCAGUCCUACCUACUGCCCACUCUGCCACAUUAUCCCUGUUUAUUUUCUGUCCAGGAGAAUUCUAUACAAUCCCCCUUGCCAAAGCACAGAUCCACUAAACACUGACAGCUUUGCUAUUUAAGAUCAGGAUGCCCCCCCCCCUCCAAAUGGUAGGAGCAUUUGAAGAAGAGUAUUACUCUCUUGAUACUUCAUUAAUCUCCAUCACUGGUGCCAGGCCUGACACAGCUGACAGCAGGGACAAUGCGAGCUGCUCCUCUCCUCCUUCCAGAGAUAAUGCAUGUUUUACAGUAGCCCAGAUGUCUACACUCAAUAAAACAUUUGACAAAACCAGCCGGUGUGUGUUUGGGGAUGUCUGUAUUGACUGGCGCGGCAUGCAGGCGGCGAUAGUGGGUCCUGCUGGCAACUGAUUACAGAAUUAAAAGACACAGUUGACAGUGGCUCUGGCAGAGAGGGGACAGCAGUAAUUGUAUCUGUAAAGUGAUUCUUAUUUUAGAGGGCUAAGUGUGGGAUGCUGAUUAUUUCAUACAAGAGAAUUGGUCAGGUGAAAUUGUGUUUGAAUGAACCUUUCCUCUCCGUGGUUAUUCCUGCUCUCAUUUGAGUCCUGGUAUUCUGAUAUGUUCUGUAUUUCAAGAGAUUGCUUUAUAAAUGUGCACCCCAUUAUUAUUGAGAGUGCCAUUAGCUAUUAUCACUAAAUGUAGGUAUGCCUGAAGGCUGUUUUUGUCAAAUUCUCCUGUGUCUCCAUGCCACUGAGUGAUCGAAAAAAAAACUUCCUUUCCAAAAGACUUUCUUUUAUAUGGAAUUCUGAAAAGUAAAAGGAAGUCAC